UACAGAGGUCCCAAGCGUUGUUCGGAUUCACUGGGCGUAAAGGGUGCGUAGGCGGUCGGGUAAGUCUGAUGUGAAAUCUCACAGCUUAACUGUGAAACUGCAUUGGAUGCUAUUCGGCUUGAGAGUUGGAGGGGGGACUGGAAUUCUUGGUGUAGCAGUGAAAUGCGUAGAUAUCAAGAGGAACACCAGUGGCGAAGGCGAGUCCCUGGACAACUUCUGACGCUGAGGCACGAAAGCUAGGGGAGCAAACAGG
rnacentral:rRNA from 1 species